GUCAUGGUGGCAGCGACGCCGAGCUUGGGGUAGCCGCGGGUCUCCCUCUGCCGCCAGCCGAGCACCCGCCCGCCAGCCCGGGCCGCGGAGCAGGGAGACGCCCAAAAAAGGCCAAGAGCCGCUCAGCCCGCGAGAGGGAUGUUAUGGCUGCACACUAGCCUGAGAUCUGCCCCAGGAGAGGCAGCCUGAGAACCCACAGCACAAUCCAGCCCAUUGGUGUGAGGUCCAAGGGUGAGGGAGAUCAACCGCACACCUGCUGCCAGAUGUGGGCAAUGCAGACACGGCCCCUGCUGGACAAGAAGUGGGUGCAGGUGCUGGGGAAGAACAGGCCUGGGCCUGCAUCUGAUGUUUACUUUGUGAAGCUUAAAAGUGUGGUAACAGUCUGAAAACACAUGCUAAUGGAGGCAGCGUGGCACGGUGGGUCCCAGAACGUAGACUACAGAGCCGGGCUACUUGGGUUCAGAUUCUGUCUCACACUCACUGUAUGAUCUUGGAUAAGUCCUUCACUUCUCUCGGCUUCAGGUUCCUCAUCUGUAAAAUAAGGUUGAUAACAACAGUACCUCCCUCGUAAGAAUGCUGUAAGGGGUAAGAAA